rnacentral:rRNA from 1 species
AUCGAACGCUGGCGGCAUGCCUUACACAUGCAAGUCGAACGGCAGCACGGGAGCAAUCCUGGUGGCGAGUGGCGAACGGGUGAGUAAUAUAUCGGAACGUGCCCAGUAGUGGGGGAUAACUGCUCGAAAGAGCAGCUAAUACCGCAUACGACCUGAGGGUGAAAGGGGGGGAUCGCAAGACCUCUCGCUAUUGGAGCGGCCGAUAUCAGAUUAGCUAGUUGGUGGGGUGAAGGCCUACCAAGGCAACGAUCUGUAGUUGGUCUGAGAGGACGACCAGCCACACUGGGAAGGAGACACGGCCCAGACUCCUACGGGAGGCAGCAGUGGGGAAUUUUGGACAAUGGGCGCAAGCCUGAUCCAGCAAUGCCGCGUGCAGGAAGAAGGCCUUCGGGUUGUAAACUGCUUUUGUCAGGGAAGAAAUCCUCUAGGUUAAUACCCUUGGGGGGAUGACGGUACCUGAAGAAUAAGCACCGGCUAAUUACGUGCCAGCCGCCGCAGUAAUAC